AAUCUUCCCCGACCUCACGUACCUUCUACGUCGGAUUCCUUCACGUUUCUCUCUCUCGCCUUCUCUCUCCCUCGAUCUCUCUUCUUCCCCUUCCCCUCUCUUCUCCCCUUUCUUCUUUCCACCCAGAGGAGUAAGAGACGAGUACAGCCCUUUCAGGCAAGAAGACGCGACGAUUCACUUCUGCAGCAGCAGGAUGGGAUUUAGAGCACCAUCCUUCACUGCAAGAGGUCGUUUAAUGCUUCCAGAGAUUCAGAGACUUCUCUUCUGUCGCGGUGUGCGAGUGCUCCUUCUCAUGAAAUGUCUAUUUGUUCGUCGAGAAAUUCUUCCGAGGGUGGAAAUGAGGAACGGAGGUGAAGUCCCGCUUAACAUUUUAGGUCGAGAGAGAGAGAGAGAGAGGUGGGAAGUUGUCUAGGCUCUGUUUUGUUGUAAAAAAAAAAAAAGGAAAAUGAGCGAUGGUUGUUUUGAUGGGGUAGGUGAAGAUGUAGGUCAGUCACAGUAGCCACUACUCGCCAAUGGUUAGUGGCGAGUGACCAUUCUUUUUCUUUAAUCUUUGUCAACUUUAAGCUGCCCUCAAUAUGCAAUGGCUUGCCGUGUUUCUGAAACGAAAACACAUUUUCUCAGAGGAAACAAGCAGUAGUGGACUGAAGACGAAAACGYGUUUUCUCAGAGGAAUUUUAAAUCUUCUUUUUUUUUUUUUCUGUGCUCACAAACCACUAAUUACGGUUUGGGUUUCGGAAAACUAAUAUUUGUUCCGCUGCUCUGCAACUUGAAUUUCUCUCUCUGGAGAGAGAGAGAGAGAGUGGGAGGGGAGGGGUUUCUUUUUGAAGGUUUGUGGGUUAGGAUUUUGUUGGGUUCUCUUCCGAUUGUGGAGAAUAAUGCGUUGGKGUAAGAUGAGAUGGCGUCGGCUUCGUGAGACCCUUUAUGUGUUCUUUCUAUUCUGGAUUUUCUCGUUUGCUUAUGGUGAUGUCGUUGAUUUGGAUAAAUCGGUUCUUCUUCAAUUCAAGAGCUCUGUUCCAGAUCCUUCGGGGUUUCUCUCCAGGUGGGAUUCUGUUGGUAGUACUUCUGAUCACUAUUCUUGGUUUGGCGCGCGUCUUCUGCGACUCCAAGCCGAGGGUUCUAGUGCGCAAUAUAACCGGAGGUGGUGGAAGCGGCGGCCGCAGGCCCGUAGAAGCAGCGGCAAAAGUAAUAUAGUCCGGUCCGGUUACGUAUUCCUCUUUCAUUUCCAGCUUCAGCCAUGUUUUUCCAGUGAGUAUGAUCAAUUUGAUGAUAAUUGAAAUUGGAUUAGUUGCGAACUUGCGAUCUCGUCAGUCAUCAUCCAAGGUUCCAAGCCAAACGGCCCAAACCUGCAAGAGCAUGUGCCUGAAUCACACCACCCUCCCUUAGUCCCAUGAGCUAUUUGCUUCUGUUUCUGUCUUUUGCCUUGAUAUUUCAACCAAAGAAAACCAUUCUUUGUUCAGUCA